rnacentral:lncRNA from 1 species
GGGAGCUCAGCUUAGAGAACAGGAAGUGGGAGCCACAUACCCCGAGCUGGCGGCUUGAGCCUGUGGUAUCUAGGCUCACCUCACUGCGGUUGGUGGAGGUGAUGGAGGUUGCAGCUUGGCCAGCAUGGUAGAAAGGUGGCAGGGCACGUCUGGCUUUUACCACCCAGUUGCUUCGAGCCAGGAGAUGGAGGAGUCAUCUGUUGCACGCUGGAGGCUGGAGCCUGCAGAUGGCAUGGUUCUGUGGCUCACCUCGCUGCAGUUGGUGGCAGAGACAGAGACUGCAGCUUGACCAGAGUGGUGGAGUGAGUAUUGUCAUCUGCAUGAGCAAAUCUGGUUCAUCACAUCUUUGCAACAGGAAAAGGAAGGGAGGAUCAUGUGUAUAAUGUUUUAAGGCCAAGAUUCACAACAAGAACAAAGUCUUUAUUAACUUUUGCCUUCAAGAACCUGCAGUGUUGAGCCCUUUUUUAUUUCUGGUAUUACUACCUUUGAUAUGUAUCUCAAGAGCACUCCACAACAAAGAUUCUGCCUGCAAUCCUCCACUUCAAGGUCUGUUCCAGGAAACCUGUGUAACACAGUUAUGCAUAGAGUGGUCUUAGGAAGCUGACUCUAACAUGAAAAUUUAGAGUUGGAUCUUUUGCUGACAUAUUGAAUAUUCAUAAGAGCAUAUGAUACAUUUGUCUAUCAUAAACAUGUCAUUUCAAAAAACCCUCAAAGUUGCCUUGUAGAACAUAAUUUUAAAACUAGUGUGUAGGAAUAUUUCAUAUCAGUUAUUCAGUCUUCUUAAUAUCUGAACCGAAAUUAAUCUUCCAUUCUGCUUUUAUUUAUAAAUAAUGAUUUAUUGUCAGAUUCAAUAAUUUAUAUUUUCAUUUAUUCUAAGGUAGGAAAUACCAGCAUAAAAAUAAAUUAUUUGAAACAAA